rnacentral:rRNA from 1 species
UGGCGCACGGGUGCGUAACGCGUGGGAAUCUGCCCCUUGGUUCGGAAUAACAGUUAGAAAUGACUGCUAAUACCGGAUGAUGUCUUCGGACCAAAGAUUUAUCGCCAAGGGAUGAGCCCGCGUAGGAUUAGCUAGUUGGUGAGGUAAAAGACUCACCAAGGCGACGAUCCUUAGCCGGUCUGAGAGGAUGAUCAGCCACACUGGGACUGAGACACGGCCCAG